rnacentral:miRNA from 10 species
CCUCGUAGCAGUGUUCUGGAAUCCUAUCUGACGGACAAUCAUUCAGACCUUCGUAGCGGUGUUCUGGAAUCCUAUGUGAGGGA